rnacentral:rRNA from 1 species
CCCUUAGAUGUUCUGGGCCGCACGCGCGCUACACUGAUGCAUUCAACGAGUCUAAAACCUGCUCUGAUAGGGGUGGGUAAUCUUUUGAAUGUGCAUCGUGAUUGGGAUAGAUGAUUGCAAUUUUUCAUCUUCAACGAGGAAUGCCUAGUAAACGCAAGUCAUCAGCUUGCAUUGAUUAUGUCCCUGCCCUUUGUACACACCGCCCGUCGCUCCUACCGAUUGAAUGAUCCGAUGAAUAUCAUGGAUUGAGGAUGCAAGUAGGUUCGCCUAUCUUCAUCUUCGAGAAGUGAAGUAAAUCUUAUCAUUUAGAGGAAGGAGAAGUCGUAACA